rnacentral:rRNA from 1 species
AGUGAACGCUGGCGGUAGGCCUAACACAUGCAAGUCGAACGGCAGCACAGUAAGAGCUUGCUCUUACGGGUGGCGAGUGGCGGACGGGUGAGGAAUACAUCGGAAUCUACUUUUUCGUGGGGGAUAACGUAGGGAAACUUACGCUAAUACCGCAUACGACCUACGGGUGAAAGCAGGGGAUCUUCGGACCUUGCGCGAUUGAAUGAGCCGAUGUCGGAUUAGCUAGUUGGCGGGGUAAAGGCCCACCAAGGCGACGAUCCGUAGCUGGUCUGAGAGGAUGAUCAGCCACACUGGAACUGAGACACGGUCCAGACUCCUACGGGAGGCAGCAGUGGGGAAUAUUGGACAAUGGGCGCAAGCCUGAUCCAGCCAUGCCGCGUGGGUGAAGAAGGUCUUCGGGUUGUAAAGCCCUUUUGUUGGGAAAGAAAAGCAGCAGGUUAAUACCCCGCUGUUCUGACGGUACCAAAAGAAUAAGCACCGGCUAACUUCGUG